AUAAUGAUACUUCCGUAAGCGGAUGCCGGAGAACCCGGCGGUUGGUGAGAGGCCAAUGA
rnacentral:ncRNA from 1 species